UACGUAGGGUGCAAGCGUUGUCCGGAAUUAUUGGGCGUAAAGAGCUUGUAGGCGGUUUGUCGCGUCUGCUGUGAAAUUUCGGGGCUCAACCCCGAACUUGCAGUGGGUACGGCAGACUAGAGUGUGGUAGGGGAGACUGGAAUUCCUGGUGUAGCGGUGAAAUGCGCAGAUAUCAGGAGGAACACCGAUGGCGAAGGCAGGUCUCUGGGCCAUAACUGACGCUGAGGAGCGAAAGCGUGGGGAGCGAACAGG
rnacentral:rRNA from 1 species